UGGGGAAUAUUGGACAAUGGGCGCAAGCCUGAUCCAGCAAUGCCGCGUGUGUGAAGAAGGCCUUCGGGUUGUAAAGCACUUUUAUCAGGAGCGAAACGCUGUCGGCUAAUACCCGGCGGAACUGACGGUACCUGAGGAAUAAGCACCGGCUAACUUCGUGCCAGCAGCCGCGGUAAUACGAAGGGUGCAAGCGUUAAUCGGAAUUCACUGGGCGUAAAAGCGUGCGUAGGCGGUUUCUUAAGUCUGCUGUGAAAUCCCCGGGCUCAACCUGGGGAAUGGCAGUGGAUACUGGGAGGCUAGAGUGUGUCAGAGGGUGGUGGAAAUUCCCGGUGUAGCGGUGAAAUGCGUAGAGAUCGGGAGAACAUCAGUGGCGAAGGCGGCCACCUGGGACAACACUGACGCUGAGGCACGAAAAGCGUGGGGACAAACGGGAUUAGAUACCCUGGUAGUCCACGCCCUAAACGAUGCGAACUGGAUGUUGGUCUCAACUCGGAGAUCAGUGUCGAAGCUAACGCGUUAAAGUUCGCCGCCUGGGGGAGUACGGUCGC
rnacentral:rRNA from 1 species